rnacentral:rRNA from 1 species
CAAUAGCGUAUAUUAAAGUUGUUGCAGUUAAAAAGCUCGUAGUUGGAUUUGUGGCGUACGGUGUGUUCCGGGCACUUGUUGUCUGAGUAACCUGCUGUUGCCAUCCUUGGGUGGAACCUGUGUGGCAUUAGGUUGUCGUGCAGGGGGUGCCCAUCAUUUACUGUGAAAAAAUUGGAGUGUUCAAAGCAGGCUUAUGCCGUUGAAUAUAUUAGCAUGGAAUAAUGAGAUAGGACUUUUUUGCUAUUUUGUUGGUUUGCGCAAGAAGGUAAUGAUUAAUAGGGACAGUUGGGGGUAUUCGUAUUCCAUUGUCAGAGGUGAAAUUCUUGGAUUUUUGGAAGACGAACUACUGCGAAAGCAUUUACCAAGGAUGUUUUCAUUAA